rnacentral:rRNA from 1 species
AUUGAACGCUGGCGGCAUGCCUUACACAUGCAAGUCGAACGGUAACAGGUCUUCGGAUGCUGACGAGUGGCGAACGGGUGAGUAAUACAUCGGAACGUGCCCAGACGUGGGGGAUAACGAGGCGAAAGCUUUGCUAAUACCGCAUACGAUCUAAGGCUGAAAGCAGGGGACCGCAAGGCCUUGCGCGGUUGGAGCGGCCGAUGGCAGAUUAGGUAGUUGGUGGGAUAAAAGCUUACCAAGCCGACGAUCUGUAGCUGGUCUGAGAGGACGACCAGCCACACUGGGACUGAGACACGGCCCAGACUCCUACGGGAGGCAGCAGUGGGGAAUUUUGGACAAUGGGCGAAAGCCUGAUCCAGCAAUGCCGCGUGCAGGAUGAAGGCCUUCGGGUUGUAAACUGCUUUUGUACGGAACGAAAAGGCUCUGGCUAAUACCUGGGGCACAUGACGGUACCGUAAGAAUAAGCACCGGCUAACUACGUG